UCGAACGGCAGCACGGGAGCAAUCCUGGUGGCGAGUGGCGAACGGGUGAGUAACAUAUCGGAACGUGCCCAGUGAUGGGGGAUAGCCCGGCGAAAGCCGGAUUAAUACCGCAUACGACCUACGGGUGAAAGCAGGGGAUCGCAAGACCUUGCGUCAUUGGAGCGGCCGAUAUCAGAUUAGCUUGUUGGUGGGGUAAAAGCCUACCAAGGCGACGAUCUGUAGCUGGUCUGAGAGGACGACCAGCCACACUGGGACUGAGACACGGCCCAGGCUCCUACGGGAGGCAGCAGUGGGGAAUUUUGGACAAUGGGCGCAAGCCUGAUCCAGCCAUGCCGCGUGCGGGAAGAAGGCCUUCGGGUUGUAAACCGCUUUUGUCAGGGAAGAAACGGUUCGGGCUAAUACCUCGAACUAAUGACGGUACCUGAAGAAUAAGCACCGGCUAACUACGUGCCAGCAGCCGCGGUAAUACGUAGGGUGCAAGCGUUAAUCGGAAUUACUGGGCGUAAAGCGUGCGCAGGCGGUUAUGCAAGACAGAUGUGAAAUCCCCGGGCUCAACCUGGGAACUGCAUUUGUGACUGCAUGACUUGAGUACGGUAGAGGGGGAUGGAAUUCCCGCGUGUAGCAGUGAAAAUGCGUAGAUAUGCGGAGGAACACCGAUGGCGAAGGCAAUCCCCUGGACCUGUACUGACGCUCAUGCACGAAAAGCGUGGGGGAGCAAACAGGAUUAGAUACCCUGGUAGUCCACGCCCUAAACGAUGUCAACUGGUUGUUGGGAGGGUUUCUUCUCAGUAACGAAGCUAACGCGUGAAG
rnacentral:rRNA from 1 species